rnacentral:rRNA from 1 species
CCCUUAGAUGUUCUGGGCCGCACGCGCGCUACACUGAUACGCUCAACGAGCUCCUUGGCCGAAAGGUCCGGGUAAUCUUUGAAAUCGUAUCGUGAUGGGGAUAGAACAUUGCAAUUUUUGUUCUUCAACGAGGAAUGCCUAGUAAGCGCGAGUCAUCAUCUCGCGUUGAUUACGUCCCUGCCCUUUGUACACACCGCCCGUCGCACCUACCGAUUGAAUGUUUCGGUGAAGAUUCCGGAUAGGACUGAUUUGAUUUAUUUCAUUUCUGACCUAAAAGCUAUCUAAACCUCAACAUUUAGAGGAAGGUGAAGUCGUAACA